rnacentral:rRNA from 1 species
CCUACGGGAGGCAGCAGUGGGGAAUUUUGGACAAUGGGGGAAACCCUGAUCCAGCCAUCCCGCGUGAGUGAAGAAGGCCUUCGGGUUGUAAAGCUCUUUCGGAAGUGAAGAAAACUUAUUUCGUAAUAUGUUAUAAGAAUGACGGUAACUUUAGAAGAAGCACCGGCUAACUACGUGCCAGCAGCCGCGGUAAUACGUAGGGUGCGAGCGUUAAUCGGAAUUACUGGGCGUAAAGCGUGCGCAGGCGGUUUUGUAAGUCAGAUGUGAAAUCCCCGAGCUUAACUUGGGAACUGCGUUUGAAACUACAAGACUAGAGUGUGUCAGAGGGGGGUAGAAUUCCACGUGUAGCAGUGAAAUGCGUAGAGAUGUGGAGGAAUAUCAAUGGCGAAGGCAGCCCCCUGGGAUAACACUGACGCUCAUGCACGAAAGCGUGGGGAGCGAACAGGAUUAGAUACCCUGGUAGUCCACGCCCUAAACGAUGUCAACUAGUUGUUGGUGGAGUAAGAUCCAUGAGUAACGUAGCUAACGCGUGAAGUUGACCGCCUGGGGAGUACGGUCGCAAGAUUAAAACUCAAAGGAAUUGACGGA